rnacentral:rRNA from 1 species
UACGUAGGGACCGAGCGUUGUCCGGAUUCAUUGGGCGUAAAGAGCUCGUAGGCGGCCACUCAAGUCGAAUGUGAAACCUCGAGGCUUAACCUCGAGCCUGCAUUUGAUACUGGGCGGCUAGAGUCUGGUAGGGGGAUCUGGAAUUCCUGGUGUAGCGGUGGAAUGCGCAGAUAUCAGGAGGAACACCGGUGGCGAAGGCGGCGUUCUGGACUGCAACUGACACUGAGGAACGAAAGCCAGGGGAGCAAACGGG